rnacentral:lncRNA from 1 species
UCAGUAGAUGGGGACAAGGGCUGAGAAGAAGGGUAUCUGGGGGAGGAUAGAACCAACAUGGCUUCAAGAAUGGAGCCAUACAUUUGGAAGUUAGGAAGAUUUGUGAUUGAGAGUAAAGGUGAUAAUUUGGCUUUUAGGUAAUCUGGUUUUGGAUGGCACAGAAGGUCAAAAUGAAACUGACAGUCACAGGAUGCCAGCUAAAGACAGGGACUGAAGGCAACUUGGUGUUUUAUAGGACAGAAGAACCAAAUUGGCCAACUCAUUUCCUGGAUGCUGGGACAGACAAGAAGGCCAGGGAUGGGAAGGUAAGAGUUUUCUACAAAAGGACAAACAGAAGCAACAAAUGGGAAGGAAAAACACGAGGCUUGUGAAAUCCCAAACCGGACUGGUA